rnacentral:rRNA from 1 species
UACGAAGGGUGCAAGCGUUACUCGGAAUUACUGGGCGUAAAGCGUGCGUAGGCGGUUUGUUAAGUCCGUUGUGAAAGCCCUGGGCUCAACCUGGGAAUUGCAGUGGAUACUGGCGAGCUAGAGUGCGGUAGAGGAUGGUGGAAUUCCCGGUGUAGCGGUGAAAUGCGUAGAGAUCGGGAGGAACACCCGUGGCGAAGGCGGCCAUCUGGACCAGCACUGACGCUGAGGCACGAAAGCAUGGGGAGCGAACAGG